UGGGGAAUUUUGGACAAUGGGCGAAAGCCUGAUCCAGCAAUGCCGCGUGUGUGAAGAAGGCCUUCGGGUUGUAAAGCACUUUUGUCCGGAAAGAAAUCCUUGGCUCUAAUACAGUCGGGGGAUGACGGUACCGGAAGAAUAAGCACCGGCUAACUACGUGCCAGCAGCCGCGGUAAUACGUAGGGUGCAAGCGUUAAUCGGAAUUACUGGGCGUAAAGCGUGCGCAGGCGGUUUGCUAAGACCGAUGUGAAAUCCCCGGGCUCAACCUGGGAACUGCAUUGGUGACUGGCAGGCUAGAGUAUGGCAGAGGGGGGUAGAAUUCCACGUGUAGCAGUGAAAUGCGUAGAGAUGUGGAGGAAUACCGAUGACGAAGGCAGCCCCCUGGGCCAAUACUGACGCUCAUGCACGAAAGCGUGGGGAGCAAACAGGAUUAGAUACCCUGGUAGUCCACGCCCUAAACGAUGUCAACUAGUUGUUGGGGAUUCAUUUCCUUAGUAACGUAGCUAACGCGUGAAGUUGACCGCCUGGGGAGUACGGUCGCAAGAUUAAAACUUAAAUGAAUUGACGGGGUCAUAGCUGUUUCCU
rnacentral:rRNA from 1 species